CGGGCGGCGCCGUGCUUCGGUCGCUGCGGGCUUUGCAUGCGGAUGUUAGGACAUCUGGCGCGCUUUGGAUGCUAGGAGGCCUCAUACAGCAUCACCAGAAACAAGUUCUUGCAAUGCUCCGAGUACGUCGCAAACCCGGAUGACUUUAUCUGCACCCGAACCAAUAAUGCAAGACAACUCCGACGGCGGUGUCGCCGAGCGAGCCCGAGGCCUUCGCGCGUGGCUUCAGACCGCACCGUAAGCCCGCUUUACUAUACCGACAAUACUAUAGUUCUGGUAGUGACGAGCUAGAUAGAUUAGCGGUUGCUGUUUGUAAACUAUGCCCAUGUGAGUUAUCAAGAUUGAAGUAAAAAAUUAAAGGUUGUCUAAAGUCCGGUCGCCGAGCAGAUAGAAUUUCGUCCAAUGACCCCAAGCUACCCAACCUUAUCGCUCGCGUGUUAUUAUAUUGCUGUCGCGCUCGCACAC